UACGAAGGUGGCUAGCGUUGCUCGGAAUUACUGGGCGUAAAGGGUGCGUAGGCGGGUCUUUAAGUCAGAGGUGAAAUCCUGGAGCUCAACUCCAGAACUGCCUUUGAUACUGAGGAUCUUGAGUUCGGGAGAGGUGAGUGGAACUGCGAGUGUAGAGGUGAAAUUCGUAGAUAUUCGCAAGAACACCAGUGGCGAAGGCGGCUCACUGGCCCGAUACUGACGCUGAGGCACGAAAGCGUGGGGAGCAAACAGG
rnacentral:rRNA from 1 species